AGUUUGAGUGAACUCCGGGAGUUGGUGAUGGACAGGGAGGCCUGGCGUGCUGCGGUUCAUGGGGUCGCAAAGAGUCGGACACGACUGAGCGACUGGACUGAACUGAACUGAGGCAUCAUUAGCUAGUAGAUGCUUUAUACGUUUGCUGUAACUCUCUGUACUCCUUCCAUCCUCAGUACCACUCCGCCUCCACACACACCCAGAAGAAAUAGCUGAGGAAAGAAGUAAUUGCCCACAAAUGCAGUAAAUCAGAAAAGAAUGGCUGUGCCCCAACUUUACAAUCAAAUAUUACUUCCCCUUCUGAUGAGCCACUGCCUGAACAACCCUCAGUAAUUUUAUUUUCAUUUCCUGAAGGCUUGAGUCUUGCCUUAUAGCUAGCAAGGUUUGUAUUUGGUCACCAUUUUCUGAGCUCUGUCUCUUGUCAGCUUUGCAUUUUCUCAAAGUAAACCCAGCCCAAACUUCUGGGAAAUCUAAAUACCGCGUCUUCAAGGUGGGUUGGAUAAAGAGUUGUGUUUAGAGAGCUAUGUAGUUUUCUUUGCAUUAGCGUCAAUGUCUGCUGAUUCUUUGGGCCAGAGGAUGAACAAGGUUGAGGAACACAGCUUUUGCUAGUUCCUCAGCCACAUCCCAUGCUGGGAAUUCACAGCUGCUGUGUGGUGGCUUGGGGGAGAUUUAUUGGGAAAGAGUAAGUUUUAGUUAAUUCCAACUGCUCAGCAGAGUCACAUGUGGCUCUCACCCAAGAGUCCAGACCCUCUCUUUAAGGGAGGGAUAACCGUGAGGGAAAAGUGAGAGGAAAAUGCCGAAAGCAGGCAAAAAGAGUGAUGGAAGAGAAAUAACAUUCACUUGGGAUUCAGGCUGCAAACAGGGAAAAUUGCAGAGAAAGAAACCCUUCUCUUUUUCUGAAUACUGCUCCCAGCUCCCCAUGGCUCCAAGCCUCUUGUAAUUGAGGUCUGAAUUGGAGAGCUUCCUAAGGCUGCUGAGUGUGAUCACACUUAAUUUCAAGUAGCAAAGUCCAUUUCAGCCCAUAUUCUCACACUGACAGGGUGAAUCUGAAUAAUAGCUGCAUUGAGGCUGGUUUUUGAAUGACUUGCGUGGCCAAUAUGAAUGUUACUUUUUUAGAAGAGAAUGUGUUUAAUAGUUCAGAAACAUCGUUUUGCUGACCCCAGAAUCAUCUCAGGAAUUCCGUCCAGUGCAGCUCUUUGAAGCUCUAGUUCAAAACGAUGAUUGUCUCUCAGCGUUCCCUCCAAGAUCUCUGCACUGGAGUAAUUUCCCAAGGCUUGGUUUCUGGCUGUGUUACCGGAUGCUCGUGCCCAGUGAAGCCUGACUCUCCAGGGGCCCAGGAUGGCAGAGCAGUUCCAGGUUUCAUGUCAAGACAGAGACAGAACAGCUUCUAGAGGAAAACAAGAGGCCAUCUCCUCUCAGACUUACCUACAAGCUUCUCUGGACUUGUCAGAUCUCAUUGCCUAAAUUUAUGUCCCAUGCACAUUCCUAACAACAAUAAUGGCUACUAUUGGCUUCAGCUAAUGGGGAUCCACCUUCUGGAUAUGGGUACAAGUUAAUGAAGCUUAUAGCUGAGAGGAUGUGGGAUGAUAAGGGAGCCAAUUAGAAUUCAGUUAGGAAGGUCAAGGUGGGGAAUAGUGGUUG